GAUGAACGCUGGCGGCGUGCCUAAUACAUGCAAGUCGAGCGAAGCGGGGACGGGUGAGUAACACGUGGAUAACCUCCUAUAAGACUGGGAUCACUUCGGGAAACCGGAGCUAAACCGGAUAGUUUUAGAUGGAUCAGCGCUGCAUUAGCUAGUUGGUAAGGUAACGGCUUACCAAGGCAACGAUGCAUAGCCGACCUGAGGUGGUGAUCGGCCACACUGGAGCUUGGACACGGUCCAGACUCCUAGUGGACGCAGCAUGAGGGAAUCUUCGGCAAUGGGCGAAAGCCUGACAGGGCAACGCCGCUUGUGUGAUGAAGGUAUUCGGAUCGUAAAACUCUGAUAUUAGGGAAGCGGUACCUAAUCAGAAAGCCACGGCUAACUACGUGCCAGCAGCCGCGGUAAUUC
rnacentral:rRNA from 1 species